ensembl:piRNA 21ur-13082 ncRNA
UUACACGCGCAUAAGUUUCUU